AUGGCCCUGAAUCAAGGCUGGCAGUUUUCUUAAGCUGUUGGUUUCAAGCAGGAGCCUAAAGUGGUCUGUUGGCAAUUUUAGAACUUUACAAAUGUAAUGGUCAAUUCACUAGAAAGAAACAAUU
ensembl:snoRNA